rnacentral:lncRNA from 1 species
CUAAGUGAAAGCUAUCGACUAUUUCAGAAGAGACCACGAUAACGAAAAUGCUGCCUCUGAGCAAGAAAAUGCGGCCAGGCCUCACGAAAGAAUCGCACGAACAGCUCGUCUUUAAAAGCACUACUAGCUUCCAUUCCCGUGCUCUCUGAUUCCCUAUAGACUUUGAUUCUAUUCCCCAAACUGCCAUUAUUAAAUUCGAUUCCGCUCAUUUUUUGGACGUAUUGAUUUCCACUGUAUGUUUUAGACCUCCAAAUGACAUUGUGAGAGAAAGUCGUUUUUCUUGGGCGGUUUUGAAAAGGGAUGGAUAAGCUCGGAGAUAAGACUGCCAUUAAAUCAGGGUUUUGAAUUGGAUUAAAACGACGAAACGUUGGUUUUGAGAGCUUAAAUGCUUAAUUAUAGCUCAAUGGCCCGU